UUCCUGGACGCCUGUGGAGAGACGUGGAUUUGCACGUCUGGUUGCUAGGCCGUCUGAGGCUGCUCAGUGCAUGGCUACUGUGCUGUGUCCCCGCGUGUGCGUGUGUGCGCACGAGCGCCUGAGCAUUCAGCGGGGCCUGACCUGGAAUAUCAAAUCCACUCUGGAUAAAAGAGAGCUGCUGGCUGCUGUUCUGUUUCCCCUAACUCCCGGGGCUGCCUCGCCUUUGUGCCGAGCUGCUUGCAGCUAGGAGAGAUGUGGGGGCUCCCUUUCCCUCCAGGCCUGGAGAUGCCACUCUCCCACUCCAUCUGCUGCCUGGACCCACGGCAGGGACAGGGGCAUCUGCAGUCGGUGAACAUUAGGGGCCAAUUGCCAACUGAAAGAUGGGGGACCCAGGAGAGUGUGAGGUGGAGACCCAGGGGGACACACCAGGAGGGAGGCAGGUGGGGGAGACACUGUAAAGGAGUAGAAAGUACCAGGGACAGGGAGGCUGACUGAGAGAGUGGCUGGCAAGGAGUAAGAUCUGCAGAGAGUGGCAAGAAAAAUCUAAGGCUGGGAAGGUGAGAAGCAAUUGAGAGUGGGGCAGAUGUGGAGCUGCAGGGGCAAAGGGACAUAAACAGGGUGAGGCAGACAGUGGGAGAGUUGCCUCCAGCAGGCGCUGGGACCUAAGGGGAGGCGGAGCUGGUGCUUCUGAUCCCUGCCAGGGCUUGUGACACACGAGAGAUAGGAAAUGUGCUAAUUUGUGAUUUCAACCAGGUCCUCCAGCGUGUCUGCAGAAAAGCAGACCCCACUAAACGUCUCUCACCGUCUGUCAUCUUCAUUUCGCUUUUGUCUUCAGAAUAAAGAGAAUUAGAAACUCCUGAGGUGGGUUUCUACACAGCUCGCUUUCGCUGUCUUUCCCUUCCUCCUGCUUUCUUUGUUAUUCUCCACUCUGGGUGUCUUUGUGCCCCAGCCACUGGGUCUGGCUGGGGGCGGUGGCCUCUUUGACCCAGCAUGCUGGGGUCCCCAUCCCGGUCUCUGUCUUACUGUCACCUGGAGGGUCUGGGUCUCUCGCCGCCUUACCCCCUCACCUCCGCCCUACCCCACCCUCCUGAUGAACCCUCAGCCCCUCUCUGCAAACCGCCCCCCACCCACCGCAGUCCCGCCUUGGCCUGACGGAUCGGAUCGGAUCGGAUCGCUGCUCCUGAUCCCCUCUUCUUCCAGCUGUCUCCCGCUCAGCCUGCAGAUUGACAGGGCCCAUAAAUCACUGUGGCGAGGCGGGGGGGCGAAGUGCUGACACAGCCCCAGCCUCGGGAGCUGGGGUUCUCGGAUUGCGGCGAACUGCUGGGGCACGGAGCCCGUGGCCUCUCUCCCUUCCCAGUUCAAUGACGUGUCAUGGUCACAGUGCCUGUGUCGGGAGCUCCUGAGCUGGCCCUGUCCAGCUCCCUGGAAGGUGGGACAAGAAGAAAUAGGUCAAAUAUGAAGCGAGGGAGUCCUGGGGCAGGAAGUGCUUGUGUGUGUAAGGAACAGCCGGGGUGGAGGGGCGUGGUAGGUGUGGAGUGAAGGAGGGGAGGGUGGCCGGAGGAUGUAGCCUGUUGUACCUGCUGUAAGGACUUCAUCUGUUGCCCCAGGAGAUGCAACGCUCUUGCAGAAUUUUGAUGGUGGAAUUCACAUGCACCAGUAGGCCCUUUGGUUCCGACAUCCCAGAGGAAUUGAAAUUCUGGCUGCUCCUACCUAUUGGGGACCUGGAGACCAGCAAGUCUGAGGCUCCGUGUCCUGCAUUCCCCUGUCUGUCUCUGAUCUGUAGAAUGUAUGGCUUUUUAAUAAUAAUUUUAAAAAGCCCAAAUCCUUUAUUUCCAUAAAUGGAUGGAGGACUUUAAUGCAUUCAACCUUGCUCCAACUGGCAGCUUCAUCUUUGUUUUGUAAAUUGGCAAUGAGGCUCCAGAAGGUUCUGUGCUGGCUGGAGGUCAUACAGGCCAUAUGGUGUGGAAGAAAGGGCUUUCGUUGACCAUUGAUUUAUGAGCAGCUUUGUAAAGGUAUAUCUUUCAAAAUUACAUGCAUGCAUACACACAGAACCCCGACGCCCAGAGUGACACAGUCACAGGGUCCUUCCCUAACGGCCAUCCAUAAGGUAUCACAAAUGCUGAGAAAGUGAACACAUGGCCUGAGCGCCACCAUCUCCCAGGCUGCAGCCCUGGCAGACGCCCCUAAUCAAUCACAGGGCUCCUUCAUGCUGAGCUCAUGCAACCUCAGGAUUCUGGAAAGCCCGCUUGUGGCUGGUUCAUAAAAGGAAGCAUAUUGCCAUUUCUGCGGCAGGGCCAGGCUGGCCUGGGCGUGGGGGACAGCAACAGCCCAAUCUCGGGACUUGGGACCCUGUUCCUUGAACUUGUGGCAGCUUUCUCUGCCUGAUUUAUAAACUGACCACAACUCUAGUAUAUGAGACAGAAUCAGGGCAGCCUCAGAGGGCACUGCCUGAGAUCCGGCUUUCCAGCCACUGGGCCCCCUGCCCUCUCCGCAGGUGUUCAGAGUGACUGGGGUUGCUUGAUUCCCUCGUGGGAUUUGUUCCAGCUGGCAGACAUGGAUCAGGCUUAUGACAGGUGAACCCAGACAAGGGUACCUGCUGUUUAAUGAGCUGGAGAUGGAAGUGGCUCCUGAAAGCAAGUCCUUCCUUUGGCUCAGGUGUGCGGAUCAGAUAUGGAACCAGGACAGCCGCUUCGCCAAGCAGGGCUCCCAGAGGUCCUGAGUGGGUGUUUCUGGGGCCUGUCAAGAGCAACAAGCAAGGCCGAAUGAUGUGGGGAGACAGACAGCCCUGGGUUCCAAUCCUCCUCCACUCACUCGCCUCCGUCUCCUCAUCAACAAAAUGGGCUUCGUAUUUUCAGGAGGCUCUUCCUGGUGCUGUUGUGGAGAGGGGCAGGGAGGACCUGAGAGCAUCCCCCUGCCUUCCUGGAAGAAUGAAGCCGCUUCCCGCAAGCACGGACAGAGGCAGUGGCUCCCUGCUCCUCACCUGUGACUUGGAACAAGUAAUUUGCUUCCUGUGCAAAACCAGAGUUCAGACAGGCCAGGUGGCCCGCUUCUGCCACCACAGCAAAGCGUGAGCUCUGGGAAGUCAGCAAGCUGGGCCUGAGGCUCGGGGCUCUGAGGGGGUGGGUGGCAGGAUGGUCUCCCAGGAGGUGAGGGAAGCGGUGCUAACUCCAGUCGCUAUGGCAACCGUCACCCUUGAUUUACGGAGGCUGCUCUGUGCCAGGCAUGGUGCUGGGUGGGAUGGGUGCGUCCCCAUUACUAUCCUAUCAAUAAUAAAAGUCAUGAGAAGGCUGUCAGUCUGUGGGUCCUCAUAGAAGCUCUUGGGGCUAGAUGCAUUUCACAUUCUGAAGUUUUUCCAGGUUUUAGAAAUAUAAUGUUCUAUAUAUUACAAACACGUCAACAUAUUCAUAUUUCUGUAGCAAAAUAUCUAUGACUAGUUCCAGCCAGUGGAUAAAGACCAUUAGUACCUCCAAGGUCAGUUCAGUUCAGGUUUUGCUGCCAAAUGAGUUUCGAAGAGCUUUUUGGUUUUCAGAGCUUUGGGGAGGUUGGGACUGUCCACUUACUGAGCUCUGGGCAGGCACUGGGCCAAGCACGUCCACUGGAUUAAUACAUUAAAUCCUCGUAAC